rnacentral:rRNA from 1 species
AACGAACGCUGGCGGCAGGCCUAACACAUGCAAGUCGAGCGCUACCUUCGGGUGGAGCGGCGGACGGGUUAGUAACGCGUGGGAAUAUGCCCUUCUCUACGGAAUAGCCUCGGGAAACUGAGAGUAAUACCGUAUACGCCCUACGGGGGAAAGAUUUAUCGGAGAAGGAUUAGCCCGCGUUGGAUUAGGUAGUUGGUGGGGUAAUGGCCUACCAAGCCUACGAUCCAUAGCUGGUUUGAGAGGAUGAUCAGCAACACUGGGACUGAGACACGGCCCAGACUCCUACGGGAGGCAGCAGUGGGGAAUCUUAGACAAUGGGCGCAAGCCUGAUCUAGCCAUGCCGCGUGAGUGAUGAAGGCCUUAGGGUCGUAAAGCUCUUUCGCUAGGGAAGAUAAUGACGGUACCUAGUAAAGAAGUCCCGGCUAACUCCGUGCCAGCGGCCGCGGUAAUACGGAGGGGACUAGCGUUGUUCGGAAUUACUGGGCGUAAAGCGUACGUAGGCGGAUUGGAAAGUAUGGGGUGAAAUCCCAGGGCUCAACCCUGGAACUGCCUCAUAAACUAUCAGUCUAGAGUUCGAGAGAGGUGAGUGGAAUUCCGAGUGUAGAGGUGAAAUUCGUAGAUAUUCGGAGGAACACCAGUGGCGAAGGCGGCUCACUGGCUCGAUACUGACGCUGAGGUACGAAAGUGUGGGGAGCAAACAGGAUUAGAUACCCUGGUAGUCCACACCGUAAACGAUGAAUGCCAGACGUCGGGUAGCAUGCUAUUCGGUGUCACACCUAACGGAUUAAGCAUUCCGCCUGGGGAGUACGGUCGCAAGAUUA